UGAAUACGUUCCCGGGCCUUGUACACACCGCCCGUCACACCAUGGGAGUCGGUAACACCCGAAGCCUGUAGUCUAACCGCAAGGGGGACGCAGUCGAAGGUGGGAUUGAUGACUGGGGUGAAGUCGUAACAAGGUACC
rnacentral:rRNA from 1 species